rnacentral:rRNA from 1 species
AUUGAACGCUGGCGGCAGGCUUAACACAUGCAAGUCGAGCGGGGGAAGGUAGCUUGCUACCGGACCUAGCGGCGGACGGGUGAGUAAUGCUUAGGAAUCUGCCUAUUAGUGGGGGACAACAUCUCGAAAGGGAUGCUAAUACCGCAUACGUCCUACGGGAGAAAGCGGGGGAUCUUCGGACCUUGCGCUAAUAGAUGAGCCUAAGUCGGAUUAGCUAGUUGGUGGGGUAAAGGCCUACCAAGGCGACGAUCUGUAGCGGGUCGGAGAGGAUGAGCCCCCACACUGGGACUGAGACACGGCCCAGAAUCCUACGGGAGGCAGCAGUGGGGAAUAUUGGACAAUGGGGGGAACCCUGAUCCAGCCAUGCCGGGUGUGCGAAGAAGGCCUUAUGGUUGUAAAGCACUUUAAGCGAGGAGGAGGCUACUCUAGUUAAUACCUAGGGAUAGUGGACGUUACUCGCAGAAUAAGCACCGGCUAACUCUGUGCCAGCCGCCGCGGUAACAC